rnacentral:lncRNA from 1 species
GGCUUGCAGCCUACUGGCUAGAGCUGUGAUGUGGGAUGCCAGCAUUUGUGGCCUGCUCUUAUUUGGAAGAGGCUCAGUUUACCACUUUUGCUCUCAGUCAGGCAAUCAGUCAAUCAGACUUGAAUCUAGGGGCAUAAAUCCACUGUAAUUAUUCUUCAGUGGGCUGUUUUAGUCAAUGAUGAGCCUGGUGUUGCUGGAGUUUUGGUGUGGUCUUAGUGCUUGCAGAAGGUAAGAAAGUGACAAAUCUGAACAACCACUGUUGCUCAUUCAGCCAAGAUAAGGUUCUGAAAGCCUACUGAAAUGAAAUGUAUGUGCAACAUAAGCUGAAGUGUUCAAACUAAUUACAGUGUAUGCACAACUCUGAGUACGUUAUGCAUAAACUCAGCAGUACUUCAAUAGCAGCUUAUUUAUAUGUUGCUGUUGAAAUUUAGGCUCCUUGGUUGUUUUUAAGCUUUGUAGUCAAUGCUGAUGUAUCAUCUUGUUCUGGUUUGGUCCUGUGGCUCCAAGAGAGGUAUUGGAUGCUCAGUGCUUUUAAAAUAAUGUGCCUUUAUGGUCAGGAGGCUGAACUGGUAAUAGCAGUCUGACUACGGAUGUGUUCUUCAUAAAGACUGGUUAUAUCUGUGGUUCUAUGAAAGUAUGUAGAUAUUCCUCAGUCUUAUGUAGGAUAUGAUAAUCCCAAAUGGUGUUGAUGGUUUUGGACCUGUUUGGACUGUUGUGCCUAUGUAGGAACCAUCUAGAACAGCUUUUCUGACAGUAAGCAUGAGCUGACUUCCCAUACCUACAGACCUUCCCGCAAAUGAGCCUCUGUAGUGACCAGGGAACCAAAAAUUGAAGCCAUAUGGAAACUUACUGUGCAUAUUAAAUUGCAUGCAGCAGUGUUAACAGCAUUUUGAUUUGUGGCUGCAAGUAAUAAAUGAAUUAUAUUAAUUUUGUAGCUGCAAGCUAAUCUCUCCAGAAUUACUUUUUAAUAACCAGCAUCAUGUUCAGUGGUAAGAUUUAAAUACAUUUAGGAACAAUUUGAGAAUUCUUAAAAAAAAAAAAAAAAAGCUAGAUUACCAUUUAAGACUGAGUUUAUUUAAUAAUUCUCUAGAUAGAUAUUUCAAAGUAAAAUGUCACGUAGCAGUUGAGUGACCUGGAGAGUAGAUUACCUAUAUAUGAUGCAGGAGCUGGGAUAAAUCACAGGUGAAAUGAGUAAACUAAGUAAAGACUCUAUAUUGUCUAGUGCUACCUUCCCACUGGUCUGCAGGAGAGGAGGGGGAGCUAUCACACAGAUCUAGGAUAUCUGAGCACAGGAGUUAUUCCUCCCUGCAUGUGGGCCUUCCUUGCCAAUAACUUCUCCUUUUUGGAGGAGUUGCUUCCCAGACAUCUCAUUGGUGACUGUAAGAAGGCAAAGGAUGAUGGUGAGUGUAUGCUUGCAGUCUGGGAUUGCUAGCAAUGUGCAUUGUCCCGUAUAGAAUAUCUUCUCUUAGUCUGUUAAUCAUAUAUUUAAUAUGUUAAUACCGAUGCUGCUAGUGUCAUUUUUGCCCAGAACAGUGCUGUAAUUUGAAGGAGGGCACACA